rnacentral:rRNA from 1 species
UACAGCAAUCAAAGAGAAGGGGUUCACCUGAUUCCAUUCCGAACUCAGCAGUUAAGACCUUCAUCGCCGACGAUACCGUAUGGGAAAAUAGGACGUUGCUAUUU